CUCCAGGCGGUGGAUCACUCGGCUCGCAGAUCGAUGAAGAACGCAGCCAACUGCGUGAAGCAAGGCGAAUUGCAUGGCUUCAUGAAACCGUCAAUGGUCGAACGCAUAUUGCGGCUCUGGCUCACGGGUCAGGGCUACAUCCACCUGAGGGUCAU
rnacentral:rRNA from 1 species